UAUAGUUAGUUUUUUUAUAUUUAAAGACUUCUUUCUCUUCUUCUUUAAGAUAAUGACAGUGUUUAUAUAUUUUGAUAAUAUACAGAGUUAUCAAAUGUUUUUUAAAGAGGAGAAUUUCGAUUUGCAUCGGUGCCACUCUUCUCAUAGCCUUUUUCUCUUGCAGUUAGAUGCUCUUCUCAUUCAAUCUAGCAUCACUCAUUUGAAUCUGAUGUGUUUCAUUUUGGUUUGAUACUGUUUGUUCAGAGAUAGCACUUGCUCUUGCUGCUGUGAUCUGUAUUGAUAUCAUCUAUCACAACUAUAUAAGAUGCUCCUCUUUCCCUCUCUUGUGCACACACUUUCUAUCUUGUUUUUCUUUUCAAUCUCAGUCUUCUCUUAUUUCCCUCUUUUCAUCAGUAAUUGCUGAACUCUGACAUCUGUAUCUCUUCUUCUCUUGACAAAUACUGAGCUGACUCAUCAUCAUCAUCAUCACACUGAAUGAAGUUACUUAAUCUGUUAUAGCUUGACUACUUUUACAACAAUUCAUUGUCUUGAUAACUUUCAUUAUACUCUUAUACUUUUGUUCUUCUGUGGUUUACUGUUUUCAUCCUUCAGUUUCUUUCCACUGUUCUUUCAUUCUUUAUAUACUUUUAAUUCAUUACAUUCAUUGCUGUUCUUGAACUGCUGAUCUUUUUUCCUUCUCUUUUCUUAUCUUUUUUCUUUUUUUUUUAUCUGAUAUCAGAGCAGAGAACAUAUUAUAUUUUGAGCUAAUGACAAAAAUGCCUCAUUUCUCAUAAAGCUGUACAUAUGAGUCU
rnacentral:sRNA from 1 species